ncrna:unclassified sequences L19-Flavobacteria ribosomal protein leader
UAACCGCUGACGAUAAUCGUGGAUGUUG